CCUACGGGAGACAGCAGUGAGGAAUAUUGGUCAAUGGACGAGAGUCUGAACCAGCCAAGUAGCGUGAAGGAUGACUGCCCUAUGGGUUGUAAACUUCUUUUAUAUGGGAAUAAAAUGUUCCACGUGUGGGAUUUUGUAUGUACCAUAUGAAUAAGGAUCGGCUAACUCCGUGCCAGCAGCCGCGGUAAUACGGAGGAUCCGAGCGUUAUCCGGAUUUAUUGGGUUUAAAGGGAGCGUAGGUGGAUUGUUAAGUCAGUUGUGAAAGUUUGCGGCUCAACCGUAAAAUUGCAGUUGAAACUGGUAGUCUUGAGUACAGUAGAGGUGGGCGGAAUUCGUGGUGUAGCGGUGAAAUGCUUAGAUAUCACGAAGAACUCCGAUUGCGAAGGCAGCUCACUGGACUGCAACUGACACUGAGGCUCGAAAGUGUGGGUAUCAAACAGGAUUAGAUACCCCAGUAGUC
rnacentral:rRNA from 1 species